rnacentral:rRNA from 1 species
CCCUUAGAUGUUCUGGGCCGCACGCGCGCUACACUGAUGCAUUCAACGAGUCUAAAACCUGCUCGGAUAGGGGUGGGUAAUCUUUUGAAUGUGCAUCGUGAUUGGGAUAGAUGAUUGCAAUUUUUCAUCUUCAACGAGGAAUGCCUAGUAAACGCAAGUCAUCAGCUUGCAUUGAUUACGUCCCUGCCCUUUGUACACACCGCCCGUCGCUCCUACCGAUUGAAUGAUCCGAUGAAUAUCAUGGAUUGAGGAUGCAAGCAGGUUCGCCUGUCUUCAUCUUCGAGAAGUGAAGUAAAUCUUAUCAUUUAGAGGAAGGAGAAGUCGUAACA